rnacentral:rRNA from 1 species
GACGAACGCUGGCGGCGUGCCUAAUACAUGCAAGUCGAGCGGAAGUUGGAGAGCUUGCUCUUCAACUUUAGCGGCGGACGGGUGAGUAACACGUGGGCAACCUGCCCUGCAGAUCGGGAUAACUCCGGGAAACCGGUCCUAAUACCGAAUAGUUUUCGCCACCUCCUGGUGGCGUACGGAAAGACGGUUUCGGCUGUCACUGCAGGAUGGGCCCGCGGCGCAUUAGCUAGUUGGUGGGGUAACGGCCCACCAAGGCGACGAUGCGUAGCCGACCUGAGAGGGUGAUCGGCCACACUGGGACUGAGACACGGCCCAGACUCCUACGGGAGGCAGCAGUAGGGAAUCUUCCGCAAUGGACGAAAGUCUGACGGAGCAACGCCGCGUGAGUGACGAAGGUUUUCGGAUCGUAAAACUCUGUUGUGAGGGAAGAACAAGUACCAACUAACUACUGGUACCUUGACGGUACCUCACCAGAAAGCCACGGCUAACUACGUGCCAGCAGCCGCCGUAAGAC